UUUCACCUUGUUGAAAUUGGACCAUUUCUUCAAUUUAUCAAGAUAAUUUUGAAUUCUCAUUCAAUCCUCCACUGUACUUGGAAGCUCUCCUAGUGAGAUGUCAUCCACAAUUUUUAUAAGCACACUCUCAUCAGCCAAGUCAAUAAUACAAAUAUUGAAUAGAACUGUGACCAAGACAGACCCCCUCAAGCAACUGAAUAACUACUGUGAUGAUGUUAUAGUGGGAAUGCAUUUUUCUGAGUGCAUCCAGGUCAUAGUGAUUUCAUCCACCCUUUUGUGACUGUCAAAAGCUUUACUGAUGUCAAGAUAUAACCCAUCUACUACUGUCCCCUUGUUCAUUAGGCCUGUUACCCUGUCAAAGCAGAAAAUUUAAUUGGUUUGACAUGAUCAGUUCUUGACAAAUCUGUUGUCUGUUUUAUAUCACUUUACUAUAUUUUAGGUGCUCAUAAAUGGUUUAUGAAUUUGUUCUGGGAACUGAAGCGAGACUGGCCAAUCAGUAAUCCCCUCCAAGUCCUGUUUUUUCCCUCUUCUCUAUCCCCCUGGGACCUCCCCUGUCCAUGAGUUCUUGUAGAUAAUUAUGGAACUAAGAAUUUGGAGGUUGUUUUGGCUCAUUCUUUAAGCUGAAACUCAGCUGACCCUUCUGACUGGUCUUUUCCUAUUCUGAUCUGCACUCCUUUCAUCUUAUUAAAAUUAAUUUUGUUCUUUAUCUUAUCACAAUUAACCUUAUGAAGAACUGAAGUAAAGAAAGCAGUAAGUACUUCAGCCUUCUCAUCAUGUUGGGAAAACAGACCUUGGCUCAGACCCCUCCAUGGACAUGUGCAGUAGGACUAGAGGCAAGAGUGUUCAGGAACCCAUGAACACCUCACCUCAGUGAUGACAUCUGACCCACUCGCAACAGUGAGACAUGAGCAGAGAUGACCAUGGACCGCUAGAGUGCCAGGUGGAAAACCUAGGUGUCAGGAAUGCCGGGCGGAAGGGGCAGUUCAUUGGACCCGCCACGGAGACCCCUUGUGUAUUUCGGCGGAUCCCCGCAGUAUGACUUGGACAGAGUGGCUGGGAUGAAAAAAGAUGACAUGAAGAACUUAAGCAGAUUCAGAUCCUGCAAAUGGACUGUGAAGAUAUAGGGGUCUGCCCCUAUUUAUUUCCUUGUGAGAUGAAUUGCAAACUUAAGAAGACAGUAGAGAAGAGGACGGACAGAAAAGCAAAGUGUAUCAAAGCAAUCAACCCCUAAAUACAUCAGAGGCUGAAUUUCAAUCUAUAAUCUCCUGAGAUAAGGUAGAUCACAAAGCCCAGGAAGAAAGACAGAAGUUCUGAGGGUCCCAGCCAAAGAAUCUAUCUAUAGCCAGAGCUGUCCCUAGGGGUGUGCGGGACCCGAGGCAUACCAGCCUGUGCAGGACCCAGUGGUGGGGUAGGGGGGCAAGCAGCUAGAGCCGGCAGCGCUCAGCAGCAGCGGCACAUGACAGCCACGGCAGGACCUAUGCAGCGCUGACUGCAGGGCCCCCCAAAGCGUGGGGCCCAGAGCGGUCAACCCGAUUCGCCCCUCCCCCUUAGGGACAGCCCUGUCUAUAGCACAGUUUUCCAAAGGAUAUCAGCCCAGCUGAUCUGGUGUGGUCUCUAGUCAGAUAAUGCACCUCCAGGUGGCAACAUAAAAUAUUCAGACAGAGAGAAAUGACAGCAAUAAGAUUAAAGCGUAAUACAGUGGAGAUCAUUGCAUGGCAUGAUGAAGCAGAGAUCUGCAUUAGGUGGAACAAAAACUGGGCCAAACCUUCAGCCAAGCUUUAGACAGAAGUUGGAUUUAAAAUUCCAAUUCUCAUAAAUAAAGUAAGGUAGGAUUAAUGCUGGAAAUACACAGAAGUGUAGCUGGGCAGUUUUGCAUCAUGAAUAGUGGCAGUACACUUGCACCAGCUGGAGCACUGGUGCUGGUAGUAGCAACAACAGCAGCAGUGUGAGACCAGCACCAAUGGCAGCUGCUGUUAUUGAGCACUGCGUAAUUUGGUGACCAGGGCUAGUGCCCCUGUCACCCCCCAAACCUUCGUAGUUAAGUUGCUGAAAAUGCUUAUCAUUAAAGAAGAGCAUUAUGAGAAUGUUGUAAUUUUAAAUAGAUACAUGAAUGUCAGAAAAUUUGUUCAACAGAACACUGCCCAUGUCCCAAGACAUCAUGCACUGUCCAUGUGAUGUAGAUAGAUGUGGGUUAUACAUAAUUUUUUUAAAAUCAAACAAU